rnacentral:lncRNA from 1 species
AAAGAACCCUGUCCCUCCAUAGAGAUGGCAGGCACUAAUGUCAGAUAUCACAGUAUCCUCCAUAGCAAGGACAGACAGGAGAGAAACCAAUGGGUGGAACUGCAGCACGCAAGGAUGAAAGAAACCAGGAGGUGCUGGUAUUCCUGUCCCCACUGCAUAGAUGCUGUAACUGAGGCUCAGAUGCAAGGAUCUGCUUGGCCAUCAGCAGAGAGCACUCAUUCUGCUCUGCGAAUGCACGGCUAGGGUCAAAGCCAGCAGGUCCCUGCAGUGCUGCUUGAGACUCUGUGGUUAGGUCUGAUUCUGUGGGGAAUACAGCGAAGACCUCCUGGCAACAGACCUGAAGCUGCAUUCUGUAACAGCUACAGCAAUAACAAGUUUGAUUUUUUUGUUCCAUGCAAAGUAUAUUCCUUUAAGCAUAUAAAUGCAAAUAUUUGAAAAUUUCAUAGUUAAAGCAUUUGACAUUUCCACUUGUGUGUAAAAAUACUCUUGAAUUCUCUUAAAUUCUUAAAAAUGGUUAAAAAGUUACUAGUUUUCCUGACUUCCAUCAAACUGUCAUCAAAACAUAACAGAGACUUGGAUUUCUGCUUACUUGUCAUUGGCUAGAUGAUAAAAGCGCCUGCUCACACAUCCAGUACACAGAAGGCUCACAGCAUCCAAGUAGGAAAAUAUCUUCAGCAAGAUUUCUGAAGGCAUUCUGCAAAAACAGAAAAAGAAAAAAAAAAUCACCAGAGUGGACCAGGGCUUAAUCUGCAGAUUACCCAGAAAACAACUGGCUGCUCAUCUCUAAAUAGAAGGCCGUAG